UCAUUUAUUUGCUGAGUGGGACUGGAGGCCCAUAGCCGCAGAAGAUCCUGGCCCCACAGCAGCAGAGAGCAAGCUCAGAGUGCUGUCAGGUCUCUCCUGCUGCCUCUCGCCAUGAUGAUGUAGUGGAAAAAUGGUCAACAAAGCUAUUUCCUACUGUGUGCUAAAUGCCCAUCAUGGGAAGUCCCAGAUUCCAGGAACAAGAAGAUCAUGGGUGAGGCAGCUGCUCAGAAACAAAUGUCUUUCAACAAUUACCCCCAGGCAUGGGUGAUACAUCCUCUUCGCAGACAGCAGAAAAACAGCAGAUUUGUGAUUUAAUUGGGAGUCUUCUGGGAUCGAACAGUGGCUUCGUUUACAGACGUGACAGCUUGAGCCAGAGGGUGCCAGCCAGUGCCAUGAUGUGACCAAGGCCAUCAACAGCAGAGCCGCAAGGGAGCAGGAGCCUUGGUCCCUGAGGACAUGCUGGAGCUAACUUGGGAAUCCUGAGGUGGCCACCUCCAAAAUUUUACAUGAAAGAGAAAAGUAAACAUCUAACUUGCUUAAGCUGCUGUUGUUUUGGGGUUUGUCAUUUACAGCCAAACCUAAUCCUCAUUAAAAUAGUGGUGGAACUGGAAUUUGAACCAGUUUACUCCCAAGACCAAACUUAACCUCUUUGACAUAUUAUUUCUACUGUAAAUCUCUACGCCCACGCCAGUUCAUCUUUAAAAAAAAAAAAAAAUUAUUUUCUCACAUUUCUGGAGGUUAGAUCCAAUAUCAGUGCGCCACCAGGGUUGGUUUCUGAUGAGGUCUCUCUUUCCUCAUGGUGGGUGGCUGCCUUCUGGCUGCGUCUUCAUAUGGCCUCUUGGCUAUGCUUGUGUGGAGAGGUUCCCUGGUGUCUCGUCCUCUUCUCAUGAGGACAACAGUCCUGUGGGAUAAGGCCUUGCCCUUAUGACCUCAGUUAACCCUAUUACUUUCUUAUAGACCUUAUGUUUACCGAUUUAUUAUAAAGGAUACAGAUGAAGAGACACAUAGAGCAUGGUUUGGGGGUAGGAGUGUGGAGCUUCUGUGUCCUCUCUGGAUGCACCACCCUCCAUGUGUUCAGCUAUCUGGAAGCUCCUGGUUCAUCUUAUUACCAGUGUCUUCCAUUCCCUUCCUUUGAGGAGUCAGUCAAUAUGUACCAAGUGCUAGGCUCUGUGCUAGGGAAUAAACCAAAAAUAUAAAUAUGAAUGAGCCUUGGUUAGUGCCCUCGAGGAGCUGGCAGUCCAUCUUGGAAGACAGAUGGCUAAGCUAAUAAAGACAAUGCAGUGAGUCGUGUAAUAAAGACAUGGGCCCAAUGUUGUGGGAGCCCAGAGGAGUGGCUCACCGCCCCGGGGUCUGGGAAGGUUUUGCCGAGAGUGCAGCAGACAAGGUGGACAUGCUAAGUGGCUGCUAGAGUAUGAAAUGUAUUUGCUUCUCAGUCACCAGUACAUUUAAACCACGGUCCUCCAAAGACUCUUGCUUGUCUAGAACAUAGCCUACUCUCCUUACCCUAGAAUUUUAGACUCUAAUUCUUCAGCACCGGAGACCCCUAGAGUCAGCCCCUUAGGAAUCCAGACUUUUUCUUCUUGCUGGACCCAAGGCCAUGAAGAAAAAUGUGUGUUGGACCCCGAAGUUCAGCUAACUCAUGACAAGGAAGAAAAUGGAAGCAGGAAGCCGGAAGGCCACUAUCAGCAGGGCUAGACAAAUAAAGAUUCCUCAGCAUAGCUGUGAAAGCCAGAAUGAGUUGUAAUUACUCUGUGCUUGGAAAUGGUGUUUCCAGUGUGACCUUUCUACCUGCUCUUCUAACGGUGGAGCUGCUGUCACUGUUUAUAAAGCCCAGACCUGGCUUUCCCUGAUUGGAGCCAAUUAGAAUAACCCCAAGAGGGCAGCCAGGGCCACUUCACUGCUAAUGAGGGCAGCUGACGUGUUGGCGUCGGCUUAUUUGCCCGGUGAAGAGGAGAUGGGAAAGCUUAUCCCGCCAAGUGGUCCCUUUCUUUCCCCUCCCAGUGCCUCCAAUAAGUCUAUUAACUAUUCUGAGCACUGGCUUUCACAAAAGGGAUGAGAUCUACUGGGGGAAGAAACUAUUUCCUGGGUAAUGAGGCCAAGCAACACUUUUCCUUACUCAGCAUAUAUUUAUGAAGCAACUACUAUGUGCCAGGCGUGGUGCCAGGGGUCGCACAUGAUGUUAUGCCUAGACCGUUUGUUCCUUAAAGAAGACCACCAGAGUCCAGAGUCAAAGCCAAGCGGCAAGGAUCUUUACUACAAGUUCGAACUUGGUCCCUCCAUUCCACCGCAUACAACAGGGCCCUGAACAAUGCGAGUGUUUGCUUUUUAUAGCCUGAAAGUUACAGGGGAACAAAGCAAUUCUUUUGAUUCCUGCUCUUUCAGUAAAACUUUGAAUGGCUGUCCCCUUAUCGGAGACUUUCCUGGUGGUGUUUGUACUGGGCUCAGGAUGUUUGAGAGAUAUAUGGCGAUAUGUGGUGGGAUGGGAGGAUGGGAUGUGUUUGUACUGGGCUUGUUUGUUUUGAGCCUGGGGCUGAGGAAUGUGCCCGGCUCUUUUCAUUCCUCCCCUUUCUUUUCAGGUAUUUUUAGAGCCAAUCUUGGGUCUUAUAAGUCUGAUUCUGUUUCAGCGUUUAUAGGUUGGUAUUGGGCUUUGAGGACCAUGAGUUGUACAGUGUCAAACUUUUCUCUAACGAACCGCAAAAUUCUGUUAACAACACAAGGUCCUACGGUAAGCAGAAAUAGUAGACUCAGCAGGGGUCCAAGGAAGGGGGCUAACAGAGAAAACAUAGAUGAGUUCUACCAUUGGUCUGCAGCUGAAGCAAACUGCCGUGUUCUUACUUCUGUGCUUAACUUGCGUAACUGUUGGACCUGGUCUUCUACAAGCCUUGAUUCAUUUAUGUAGAAACAAGUCUUCUUUUAGAAACAUACACGUACCUUCUUUUUUAGCAGUGAGUAGGUCUAAGGCCUUCUGGUUCUGCAAGGUUACCUGUGCUAGGGAUGUGAGCUGCCGCUGGAGGGAGGCAAGGGACUUAGCUGACUCCUCCAUAGCAACGGCAAAUUGUUGGUACAGCUUGUUACUUUCUAUGAGGGUGUGACCUAGGGCUCUCCCAGCCAGUCCGGCCACCAUGAAGGAUGCGGUGAGGGAGAUUCCUGCAAUGAGGGGGAGAAAUAUGGCUCGUGCAGGUCUCGGUCUAGGGUCUGGGUGAAUAACAGUUACCGGUAUACCUUAGGAACUUGCCGGAAGUAAGUAGAGUUAACCGGGGAACUAAUGUGAUAGGAAGACACAGUAGGUUGGUAACAGAGGGGCUUGAUAGGUUUUUAGAUAAUGUUCUAUUACACCAGAAGAAUAUGCCUGACGGAGCCUUUAAGGCGAUAUUAGGGGACGUUGCAGUGAUGCUGCAGAGGCUGGAAUUAGUUCCUGAGAAACAGUAGGGAAACUUUUCUUGACUGGGGUUUAGGUAUAGUGGCACGUUAGGGAUAGGGGCAUAUGAGAGGUUUCGGUGGUUGUUAGCUUGGGCAGAGGUGGAGGAUCCUCAUGGCAGGGGGACAGCGGUUAGCGGUGGACGCCUUAGAGUGGCACACAGAAAGCAGCCAGACAGGCUGUGAAGUCCUGUAAGGUUGGCGAGUUCUAAUCUUUCUUGCAAUAAUUUUAACUAGGAAAAAGGAUGUAAAUCUUGUGUCAGGCGGUUUUCUUGUCGCUGGAUAUUUCCAUGGACUAGGGGCCGUACCUGCACUAGACCCCGCCACAGAUAGAGGUGACUGCUAGGCCAUGUGGAGGCGGAGGAGUAGUAUACAGCCUCGUGUUGAGGCGUGGUCCAGCGGGAGUUCUAGGGGUCUUUAACUAUCCAUGUAUAUGAAAGGUCUCUAUCUCGUCUGCAAUGGAAGGGCCAUCUGGGAUCUAUCUGUUCUUCUCCACCUCACCAUUGGUAUUUAUGGAUGUUACAAUAGUUAUAAGGGCAGCCGGCACUUUGGUGCCACCAAUAGUGCUUACAAUUGUAUUCAGUCUGAUCAUACUCGAAGCAUAUUAUUGGUGCCACUGGUUUGGCUACUGGGAAAUCGGUAAAAUUUAGUAAAAUUGGGCUAUUGCACCCUGAGGAGGGGCAAUCUGCACUGGCCACUAAUUUCCUGGGCUUAUGAAGUUGCCUAGGGUGGGUUUGGUUUUCAUAAAGCCAGACUCUCCAGACAAAGGGAUUAGGAGCUGGCUUUAUGUUUUCCUUAGCGGCCACUAGGGCGACUAAUGUUAGAGUUAGACUACCUAACUGCAUGUUUACAGUGAGUUAUGCUGCCGGCGCAGGGUGAGUUUUAAGGGGUUGUUCUUAGCUCUGUCCACAGUCCACGUGUCCGGUGCUUCAGCCACCGCCGCCGUGAUUGGCCUCAGAAGGUCGGAGGUUGGGUCCACUGGCUUGACGUGGGUGUAGUGGAUCCACGACGCAAUGCCUUCUACCUUCAGGGUGGUGGGUGUGGUCAGGAGUACUUGGAGUGGUCCUUUCCACCUGGGCUCUAGGGUCUCUUGUCGGUGUCGCUUAACCAGGACCUAGUCUCCUGGCUGGUACGGAUGGGGUGUCGGUGGGGGACUGGUCUUAUAUAGCUCUCUCAGCUUGGGCCAGAUUUCCUGGUGAAUUUUCUGUAAGGCUUGUAAGGAAAAUAAGAAUUCAGAGACAUUUUCUGUUUCAGACUUAAGCAGGUCAUCUUUUAAGCUAGGAACCAGGGGUGGAGGUCUGCCAUACAUGAUUUCGUAAGGGGUGAGGCCUAGUUUGUAAGGGGUAUUACGGGCCCGGAACAGAGCAUAGGGGAGAAGGACUACUUAAUUAGCGCCAGUCUUUAUAGUCAAUUUAGUUAAGGUCUCUUUUAAGGUCCGAUUCAUCCUUUCUACCUGUCCUGAACUCUGGGGCCUGUAAGCGCAAUGUAGUUUCCAAUUUGCCUUAAGGAUGGAAGCCAAGUCCUGACUUACCUUAGCGACGAAAGCAGGCCUAUUAUCUGACCUUAUCUGGAUGGGGAAGCCAUACCUGGGAAGGAUAUCUUCUAGAAUUUUCUUUGCUACGACCUGAGCAGUUUCUCUUUUGGUUGGGAAUGCUUCAGUCCACCUUGAAAAAGUAUCUACAAAGACAAGUAAGUACUGGUACUUGUACUUUCCUGGCUUUAUUUCAGUAAAAUCUACUUCUUAGUAGAUACCGGGCCUGGUUCCUCUGAGCCUUGUUCCUGCUGCAGCUUGAGAUUGGGGGUAUGCGUUGUUAAGCUGGCAGACUUUGCAACUUGUCACGAUACUGCUGGCCGUCUCAGCUAUAUGUCUGAUUUUGAGCUUGGAGCGUCUGAUCAGGUCUAUCAUCCACCGGGCCCCCAGGUGGGUGGUUCGGUGGAUGUGUUCUAACACCUGUUGUCCUAAUUUUUCUGGUAGGAUGGUUUGGUCAUUAAUAUCAGUCCACCACCUAUUCUGGAUUUGUUUUAGGGGAAGUUUGUCAAUCUACUGGAGAUCUUGUUCUGAAUAUUCAGGGAAAUAUGGCAAGUCCUGGGGGCCCAGGUC